rnacentral:rRNA from 1 species
UACGAAGGGUGCAAACGUUGCUCGGAAUUAUUGGGCGUAAAGCGCACGUAGGCGGCUUAGCAAGUUGGAUGUGAAAUCCCUCGGCUUAACCAAGGAAGUGCAUCCAAAACUGCUGAGCUUGAGUACUUAAGAGGAUCGCGGAAUUCCCGGUGUAGAGGUGAAAUUCGUAGAUAUCAGGAAGAACACCAAUGGCGAAGGCAGCUCUCUGGGACGGUACUGACGCUGAGACGCGAAAGCGUGGGGAGCGAACAGG